rnacentral:rRNA from 1 species
GACGAACGCUGGCGGCGUGCCUAAUACAUGCAAGUCGAACGCAGUGGGGACGGGUGAGUAACACGUGGGUAACCUCCCAUCAGAGGGGAUAACACUUGGAAACAGGUGCUAAACCGAUACUGAUGGAUGGACCCGCGUUGCAUUAGCUAGGUGGUGGGGUAACGGCUCACCAAGGCCACGAUGCAUAGCCGAUCUGUGGGGGUGAUGGGCAACACGGGGACUGAGACACGGCCCAGAUUCGUACGAGAGGCAACAGUAGGGAGUCUUAGGCAAUGGACGAACGUCUGACCGGGCAACGCCGCUUGAGUGAAGAAGUUUUUCGGAUCGUAAGACUCUGUUUUUAGGGAAGCGGUAUCUAACCAGAAGGCCACGGCUAACUACAUGCCAGCAGCCGCGGUAAUAC